rnacentral:rRNA from 1 species
AUACGUAGGUGGCGAGCGUUGUCCGGAAUUACUGGGCGUAAAGGGCGUGUAGGCGGGGGGACAAGUCAGAUGUGAAAUACCGCAGCUUAACUGCGGGGUUGCAUCUGAAACUGUUCUUCUUGAGUGUCGGAGAGAAAAGUGGAAUUCCCAGUGUAGCGGUGAAAUGCGUAGAGAUUGGGAGGAACACCAGUGGCGAAGGCGGCUUUCUGGACGACAACUGACGCUGAGGCGCGAAAGCGUGGGGAGCAAACAGGAUUAGAUACCCUGGUAGUCCACGCUGUAAACGAUGGAUACUAGGUGUAGGAGGUAUCGACCCCUUCUGUGCCGGAGUUAACACAAUAAGUAUCCCGCCUGGGGAGUACGGCCGCAAGGUUGAA